rnacentral:hammerhead_ribozyme from 1 species
GUACUGAUGAAGAGUUUCACACUAGGACGAAACAGCUGUCCAGUAC